AUCUCUAAAAGUUAGAGAGAUAUCUCUUUUACAAGUUUAAAAGAGAUAUCUCUCUUAAUUAGAGAGAUAUCUCUUUAGAUUUUCAAAAAGAGAUAUCUUUCUAAGCUAAAGAGAUAUCUCUUUUAAUGAAAGAGAUAUCUCUUUUCCAAUCACCCUUAAAAUAAAAUAAUUAAUUCUCCCGUUAAAAACGAAAGCGAAACAGGAAGUAAUGUCUGUUAAGUCGUUCGUUUUCUGAUUAUUGAAAAGAAGAGGAUAAAAUGGACUGAUUGAUACAGGGAUCCAGGAGGUACUGAAAAAGGGACAAUGCUUUGACUGGAUGUGUCAUCCAUGUACCAGUAUAGAUCUGUUAAUGAGGCAUAUCCAAUAAUUCUUAUACUCAUGAAGAGUGUGGCAACUUCCACGUAGUUAAUGAUGGCACUCAUUUUAAAUCAGAUGCUCACUUCUAGGAUGUUUUCCAUGUUCUUGUGAAAAGUGUUUUACAUGGCACCAUUCAGCUACAAAUACUUUACCGAUGGAACUGUGACAUCAAUCAACUGCUCAUGCCACUGCGGACUGGCAGAAUUUCCUUUGGGACAAGCAAACUGUUUCAAAUAUUUUACACCAGCAAGUAGUGAUGAGUGUACUGGAAGUUUUUUCGGGAUCUUGUCCAACAUCAUAGAUACAACUGGUCACUGUGCUUUCUUGGUUAUAUAAGCAGGCAUAUUGCUAAAGCGGUGUCAUAUGUAGCUUCAAAUGAUGCUUGACUGUUAAAGUGUUUUUCUUCAAUUUAUAAGUAAACCACGAUUGAUCUCUGAUGCAGUAAUAUAAAGCCAUGUCCAUUCUUUAAUAUUCCAUCAUCCCACUGUCACAAAGAACUGAAAUAAAAAUGAUUUUGAUUUUAAAAAUAUUUUUAGUUUUUAUAUGUAACAUAAAAUUCUACAGAAAUUCAAAUAUUAAAACUACUUCAAAACAAGAUGUGUUUGUGAAACACUAUGCACCAGGCAGCAACAAAUUCAAACAAGUUUUUUUUUAGCAUAUAGGUCACAGUCAAGGUCACAAGGUCAUUGACCUUGGUGUCUUUUGAAAGAAUUUAAUUAGUGGAGUAUGCAAAUCAAAUAUGAAGUCUUUAAUGGUUCAAAAGGUAUGGCAAAAGUUCAAAAUGGUAUUUAUAGCAUUAAAGUCACAGUAAAGGUCACAAGUUCACUGGCCUUGGUGUCAUUUGAAAAAGUUUAAUUAGUGUAGAAGGCAUUCCAAAUAUGAUAUCUCUAUCUUUAAUGAUUCAAAAGUUAUGGCGAAAGUUUAAAAAAAAAGCUAUUUUUAGCAUAUAGGUCACAGUCAAGGUCACAAGGUCAUUGACCUUGGUGUCUUUUGAAAGAAUUUAAUUAGUGGAGUAGGCAUAUUAUAUAUGAAGUCUGUAUCUCUCAAAAGUUAAGGUGGAGGUUAAAGUUGACAUUGAAAAAGAUUACAAAAUAUCCAAAAGAACUGUUUUACUUGGUAAUAUAGAAAGAAGUUGUUUAGAAAAUUUUCUUUUAUUAGUUGCAAAAAAUUUUACUUACUAUUCAAGAUCACCAGAUAGUAAGCCAUUAUUUAUU